GACGAACGCUGGCGGCGUGCUUAACACAUGCAAGUCGAACGGAAAGGCCCUGCUUUUGUGGGGUGCUCGAGUGGCGAACGGGUGAGUAACACGUGAGUAACCUGCCCUUGACUUUGGGAUAACUUCAUGAAACUGGGGCUAAUACCGGAUAGGAGCUCCUGCUGCAUGGUGGGGGUUGGAAAGUUUCGGCGGUUGGUGAGGGACUCGCGGCUUAUCAGCUUGUUGGUGGGGUAGUGGCUUACCACGGCUAUGACGCGUAGCCGGGCUGAGAGGGUGACCGGCGCCGUUGGACUGGGAAGGAGGCCCGGCCCAGUACGGGAGGGGGCGGUGGGGGAGGUUGUACUAGGGACUGGGGCCAAAUCCAACACAGCAAUGCGGCGUAAGAGGGGAAGGGGGUUGGGAUCCAAAUUCGCCUGUCACGAAGCGAGAAUGACAGUAACGGGUAAAGAAGCGCCGGCUAACUCCGUG
rnacentral:rRNA from 1 species